UAGCCAAACGGAGAGAGUACCCGGAAACUUACCCGGCAACCUGUAAACACUUGAUUCACAACCAAUAUCAGCUCAGACAAGCAGGACGUAGGGUUUUACACCUCCGGGUGGCCCGAACCUGGGUAAAAACGUGCGUGUAUCUGUUCUUUGAUUAGCGCGCACUUUUAGUACAUCAUUUCGCCGGCCCCGCAGGGCCUCAUCGGCCGAGCCGGCGAUUGCCGGGGCGAACCCCGACGCCCCUACCGAACCUAAAAGGGGGCCGUGAC
rnacentral:lncRNA from 1 species